rnacentral:rRNA from 1 species
GACGGAGGGUGCAAGCGUUGUUCGGAUUGACUGGGCGUAAAGGGCGUGUAGGCGGUUGGUCAAGUCUGAUGUGAAAGCCCGGGGCUCAGCCCCGGAAGGGCAUCGGAAACUAGCCAGCUGGAGCGCGAUAGAGGAGGGUGGAAUUCCUGGUGUAGCGGUGAAAUGCGUAGAUAUCAGGAGGAACACCAGUGGCGAAGGCGACUUCCUGGCCUGUUCUUGACGCUGAGGCGCGAAAGCGUGGGGAGCAAACAGG